GACGAACGCUGGCGGCGUGCUUAACACAUGCAAGUCGAACGGAAAGGCCCUGCUUUUGUGGGGUGCUCGAGUGGCGAACGGGUGAGUAACACGUGAGUAACCUGCCCUUGACUUUGGGAUAACUUCAGGAAACUGGGGCUAAUACCGGAUAGGAGCUCCUGCUGCAUGGUGGGGGUUGGAAAGUUUCGGCGGUUGUGGAUGGACUCGCGGCUUAUCAGCUUGUUGGUGGGGUAGUGGCUUACCAAGUCUUUGACGGGUAGCCGGCCUGAGAGGGUGACCGGCCACAUUGGGACUGAGAUACAGCCCAGACUCCUACGGGAGGCAGCAGUGGGGAAUAUUGCACAAUGGGCGGAAGCCUGAUGCAGCAACGCCGCGUGCGGGAUGACGGCCUUCGGGUUGUAAACCGCUUUCGCCUGUGACGAAGCGUGAGUGACGGUAAUGGGUAAAGAAGCACCGGCUAACUACGUG
rnacentral:rRNA from 1 species